UACUCGAGUGGCGAACGGGUGAGUAACACGUGGGUGAUCUGCCCUGCACUUCGGGAUAAGCUUGGGAAACUGGGUCUAAUACCGGAUAGGAGCCAUCUUUAGUGUGGUGGUUGGAAAGUUUUUUCGGUGUAGGAUGAGCUCGCGGCCUAUCAGCUUGUUGGUGGGGUAAUGGCCUACCAAGGCGGCGACGGGUAGCCGGCCUGAGAGGGUGUACGGCCACAUUGGGAUUGAGAUACGGCCCAG
rnacentral:rRNA from 1 species